rnacentral:rRNA from 1 species
CCCUGUGGGAAGCAGGAGGGACCACCCUCCAAGGCUAAAUACUACCUAGUGACCGAUAGCGUAUAGUACCGUGAGGGAAAGGUGAAAAGAACCCCGGGAGGGGAGUGAAAUAGAACCUGAAACCCUGCACUUACAAGCUGUGGAAGCACAUUUCUUGUGUGACCGCGUACUUUUUGUAGAACGGGCCAACGAGUUACGUUAAGUAGCAAGGUUAAGCACUUAAGGUGCGGAGCCGUAGCGAAAGCGAGUUUUAACUGAGCGUUCAGUUACUUGACGUAGACCCGAAACCGGGCGACCUACCCAUGAGCAGGAUGAAGCGAAAGUAAAAUUUCGUGGAGGUCCGAACCCACGAGCGUUGAAAAGCUCGGGGAUGACUUGUGGGUAGCGGUGAAAUUCCAAUCGAGCCCGGAGAUAGCUGGUUCCUCCCCGAAAUAGUCGUUUAGGGCUAGCCUCAAGGUGAGAGAUACGGAGGUAGAGCACUGAAUGUCCUAGGGGGUAUUGCACCUACCGAAGACUAUCAAACUCCGAAUGCCGUCAUCUUAUACUUGGGAGUCAGACUGUGGGUGAUAAGAUUCAUAGUCGAAAGGGCAACAGCCCAGAUCGUCAGCUAAGGUCCCUAAAUGUAAGUUAAGUGGUAAAGGAUGUGGGAUUGCACAGACAACCAGGAUGUUGGCUUAGAAGCAGCCACUCAUUCAAAGAGUGCGUAAUAGCUCACUGGUCGAGUGAUCCUGCGCCGAAGAUUUCCGGGGCUAAAACUUACUACCGAAGCUACGGCAUCAGUAAUGAUGGGUAGGGGAGCUUCCCAUACGGGUUGAAGCAUGACCGUAAGGACAUGUGGACAGUAUGGGAGUGAGAAUGUUGGCAUGAGUAGCGAGAUGUGGGUGGGAAUCCCACAGGCCGUAAACCCAAGGUUUCCAGGGGAAGGUUCGUCCGCCCUGGGUUAGUCGGGACCUAAGCUGAGGCCGAAAGGCGUAGGUGAUGGACAACAGGUUGAUAUUCCUGUACUACCGAUAACCGUUUGAGAGAAGGGAUGACACAGUAGGAUAAGCUAAGCACACUGUUGGUUAUGUGUGCCCAAGCAUUGAGGCAGUCAAAGUAGGCAAAUCCGCUUUGAUAAUGCUGGGAUGUGAUGGGGAGCGAAAUUUAGUAGCGAAGUAGCUGAUUUCACACUGUCAAGAAAAGUCUCUAUCGAGGUUAAAGGUACCCGUACCGCAAACCGACACAGGUGGGUGAGGAGAGUAUCCUAAGGCCAGCGAGAGAACUGUUGUUAAGGAACUCGGCAAAAUGACCCCGUAACUUAGGGAUAAGGGGUGCCACCAUCAGGUGGCCGCAGAGAAUAGGCCCAAGCGACUGUUUACCAAAAACAUAGGUUUCUGCUAAGUCGCAAGACGAUGUAUAGGAGCUGACGCCUGCCCGGUGCUGGAAGGUUAAGGGGAUCUGUUAGAGCAAUCGAAGCAGUGAACUUAAGCCCCAGUAAACGGCGGCCGUAACUAUAACGGUCCUAAGGUAGCGAAAUUCCUUGUCGGGUAAGUUCCGACCCGCACGAAAGGCGUAACGAUUUGGGCACUGUCUCAACAACAGACUCGGUGAAAUUGUAAUUCCGGUGAAGAUGCCGGAUACCUGCGACAGGACGGAAAGACCCCAUGGAGCUUUACUGUAGCUUGACAUUGGGUCUUGGUACUACAUGUACAGGAUAGGUGGGAGGCUUUGAAACCAGGACGCCAGUUUUGGCGGAGCCAUCCUUGGGAUACCACCCUUGUAGUACUGGGACUCUAACCAUAGGCCAUGAAUCUGGUCUUGGGACACUGUCAGGUGGGCAGUUUGACUGGGGCGGUCGCCUCCCAAAAGGUAACGGAGGCGCUCAAAGGUUCUCUCAGUACGGUCGGAAAUCGUACGUAGAGUGUAAAGGCAAAAGAGAGCUUGAUUGCAAGACAUACAGGUCGAGCAAGGAUGAAAAUCGGACUUAGUGAUCCGGUGGUUCUGCGUGGAAGGGCCAUCGCUCAACGGAUAAAAGCUACCCUGGGGAUAACAGGCUUAUCUCCCCCAAGAGUCCACAUCGACGGGGAGGUUUGGCACCUCGAUGUCGGCUCAUCACAUCCUGGGGCUGUAGUAGGUCCCAAGGGUUGGGCUGUUCGCCCAUUAAAGUGGUACGCGAGCUGGGUUCAGAACGUCGUGAGACAGUUCGGUCCCUAUCCGUCGCAGGCGUAGGAAAUUUGAGAAGACCUGUCCUUAGUACGAGAGGACCGGGAUGGACGUACCUCUGGUGUACCAGUUGUCCUGCCAAGGGCAUGGCUGGGUAGCUAUGUACGGAAUGGAUAAGCGCUGAAAGCAUCUAAGCGCGAAGCCAACUUCAAGAUAAGAUUUCCCACCGCAAGGGUAAGACCCCAGAAAGACUAUCUGGUUGAUAGGUCGAAGGUGUAAGUGCAGCAAUGUAUUUAGCUUAUCGAUACUAAUAGGUCGAGGACUUGACCAA